AUGGUGGAAAUGGAACAGAAGAGUGAAGAGGAAGAGGAGGAGGAGGAGGAGGAGGAGGACAUUAGUUUGGACAGCCUUCUUAAGAGAUCAAGGGAGUAUGUGAAGAGAGAGCAGAGUCAGCAGGGGUCAAAAGUUGUCACCACAGUCACCAGAACUCCUCCGCCGGAGACUGUCUCUGACAAGGAGAACAGGAGCUGCAGUCCCAUGGGGAACACAAAUGUUGAGUUUGGAUUCAGUCUGCACCACAGCCCUAUUGGCCCACCACAGACCCAAAUCCAGCAUCAAACUCUGUACGACCCCAGUCCCCAACAGUAUGGCUGCCGCUCACCUACUCUACCUAACCGAUAUGCACGUCUCCCCUGUCCAGAGUCCAGCAUUAGUCCCCACGCACAGAGACGCAGACCACGCCCAGUUUCUACAGGAAACAUACAUAUUUCGUUUCCCAUUGGCGCAGCAGACCUUAUCCCCUGCAGCCCAGGGAGGUCAGGGGAAGGUGCUAGCAUGGCAGAAUGGGGAGGAGCUCUCUCAGGGGCCAUAAAGUCUCCUGAUCACCGGGGCUCACUGGGGAGUGAAAGUGGUGGUGGUGUUGGCAGUGGCAACAAUCGAUCGAGCCACUGUGGUACCAGUCCAGUGCAGGACGCCUGUAGCCCCGCUAGUGCCUCAGGGUUUAGCCCGAAAGGACACCAUGACUAUCUGGCUGCAGGAUUUCGCCGGCGGUGCCACACUCUGGACAGCCAGCUGCAGAGCUACCACUCUGGAGUUGAACACAUAGACCGCAGCCAGGAAAGGGUUCCUCGCUUCAUGGCAGGAGUUACAUGGAUGGCUUCAGGUUGGCGCACCCCUGCAGCCCCUUUUAACCAGUCAUAUGAGAUAGAUAAUCCCUCGCUAUCUCUGCUAAGGCCCUCUAUCACUUCUGACUUGGGUCAGGUCACACGCAGAAUGGAGCCUAAUGACCCUCAGGGGACAAACAAUGGAAGAAUCACACCAACUGUCCUUAGAAAUGCAGCCGAGACACAGGCCAGCAAGACAGGUGAGUCUCCCUUGUACAGUUCCUGUAAUGCACAAUGUAUUUACCAACAUCUACAGAGUUAA
rnacentral:lncRNA from 1 species